rnacentral:rRNA from 1 species
AACGAACGCUGGCGGCGUGGAUAAGACAUGCAAGUCGAACGGGACAGACCGAGUGGCAAUAUUUGGAAUGUUCAGUGGCGAACGGGUGCGUAACACGUGGAUAACAUUCCGGAAAGCGGGGAAUAGCCCAGGGAAACUUGGAUUAAUACCGCAUGUGGCCGCAAGGCUAAAGACGGGGACCGCAAGGCCUGUCACUUUCCGAUUGGUCCGCGGCCUAUCAGCUAGUUGGCGGGGUAAUGGCCCACCAAGGCUACGACGGGUAGCGGGUCUUAGAGGACGACCGGCCACACUGGAACUCAGACACGGUCCAGACACCGACGGGUGGCAGCAGUCGAGAAUCUUUCACAAUGGGGGCAACCCUGAGGGAGCGACGCCGCGUGGAGGAUAAGGUCUUCGGAUUGUAAACUCCUGUCAUGCGAGAACAAGGUACUCAGGCUAAUAACCUGAUUGUUUGAUGGUACCGCAAGAGGAAGAGACGGCUAACUCUGUGCCAGCCGCCGCAGUAAAAC